rnacentral:ncRNA from 1 species
ACCAGUCUUGGUGUAAAUUUUGUUCAGAACAACCAUGGGGUCUCUCCCUGCUCCCGUUUGCAAUGGACACUAAACGGCAAGCCGCAAAAGAAAAGGAUAAAUCAAUCAUAAGGUCUCGCCUUGGUGACUCUGGAUAACUUUGCGGAUCGCACGGUCUAGCACCGGCGACGGAUCAUUCAAGUGUCUGCCCUAUCAACUUUCGUCGGUACGGUAUUUGCCUACCGAGGUUCUUACGGGUGACGGGGAAUCAGGGUUCGAU